rnacentral:lncRNA from 1 species
GUAAGAAAUGCAAAGAAAUAUAAGAUGGGAUUCUUUCCAGAAGGUACUUCUAAGAUGUAACAGCAAUGCCUUAUAUGGAAUGUGUACAAUGGUUUCUGGAUAAUAUAUUUUAAAGAAAGAAGGCUUUUCUUUUUCAAAAGUGUAGUUUGUUAUAAAAGUCUUUGUAAGUUGAAAAAAGUAUUUUUUUUAAGAAGCAGCACUCUGUACUUAAAGAAAAUUCAGCAGCCAAAAUGCUUUGCUACUUCAUGUGUAGGUGUAAUGAAAACAGUUAGCUGUCUGGUUACACUAUCUUUGACUUCUCACUUUUAGUAUUCAGAGGUUGACCUGAACUUAGCUGUGUUAAGUUGCUGGCUCCACAGGAAACCACCUCCCUAACUGCUGCUUGCUGCUUUCUCUUUAGCCAACACCCAAAGCCACUGUCGGAUGUCAUGGGGAUGAGACUUCACAAGUAUUCCUUCAUAUGUAGAAAAUUAAACCAUGAUGCAAAAUAAUACAGUUCCUGAUGAAACCCGAGAUAAGGAUGAAAUUAAAAGUUUGGAGAACUUAAAAUGAAAAUACUGAAAUAAGCCAGUUAUAAGGCAGUCGGCCCAGUCUCUCCAGCUUCUCCAGCUUUGAAUGGAUGAAAAAAGAAUGCAGAGCCAUUUUGGAAGGUUUUGCAGCUUUGUGAACAGUUGGAAGCAGGAAUCUUGGUGCACCAAGUCUUUGAAGUAUAAGAGAGGAGCAGCCUUCUCCAGGUGUUAAAUUCUGCGAUGGACUCGCCUCUCCCCAACUGAUAUUAGAGGCCUUAAUUAAGAGGAUCCUUGAAACAUGGCCACGUGACAGUGGGAGGACAUUUCUCUACCCCCUCCGAGGUGAGAACUUUUCAUGUUAUUUGAUUGAAUGGGAUGAUCUUUCCCUUUAGUGUUGAUGUGAUCAUAUUUCAUAACACCAACUGGCAACAAAAGAUAGCAAUAAAGAAAAACAGAAAGCUAAACCUUGGGUUAUAAAUGUUUCUGUGGCAGUGAUCCUUUGUGAAUUUUAAAAUAGAAUUUAAGACCCCUUUUUGUCAUUAUCCAUACUUUCAGUCUUGGUGGGUAGGUCUUCCCCUAGAGUCAAGUGUUUUAUCUGACAAAGCAUUUUGAUUAUGCGCUUGUGAGCCAAGUCUAUCCUAAAACAGCGUGGUAGGAGUUGCCUAAAUUACCCCUUGCUAGAGGCAUUCUUAUAAAUGGUUUUUCUUAUAUAAUCUUAGAAUAUAUCUUUUCAUAAUACAUAUAUUAAAG